AGACCCGAAACCCGGUGAUCUAGCCAUGGGCAGGUUGAAGGUUGGGUAACACUAACUGGAGGACCGAACCGACUAAUGUUGAAAAAUUAGCGGAUGACCUGUGGCUGGGGGUGAAAGGCCAAUCAAACCGGGAGAUAGCUGGUUCUCCCCGAAAGCUAUUUAGGUAGCGCCUCGUGAAUUCAUCUCCGGGGGUAGAGCACUGUUUCGGCUAGGGGGCCAUCCCGGCUUACCAACCCGAUGCAAACUGCGAAUACCGGAGAAUGUUAUCACGGGAGACACACGGCGGGUGCUAACGUCCGUCGUGAAGAGGGAAACAACCCAGACCGCCAGCUAAGGUCCCAAAGUCAUGGUUAAGUGGGAAACGAUGUGGGAAGGCCCAGACAGCCAGGAUGUUGGCUUAGAAGCAGCCAUCAUUUAAAGAAAGCGUAAUAGCUCACUGGUCGAGUCGGCCUGCGCGGAAGAUGUAACGGGGCUAAACCAUGCACCGAAGCUGCGGCAGCGAACGUAUCACCCAAGACAACUUUACGGAGUUGACGAUUGACGGAGCGAAGCGACGUCAAAGCGUUCAUUAAAGUCGAGUUGGCUUAGGGAUACGUUCGUUGGGUAGGGGAGCGUUCUGUAAGCCUGUGAAGGUGUGUCGUGAGGCAUGCUGGAGGUAUCAGAAGUGCGAAUGCUGACAUAAGUAACGAUAAAGCGGGUGAAAAGCCCGCUCGCCGGAAGACCAAGGGUUCCUGUCCAACGUUAAUCGGGGCAGGGUGAGUCGACCCCUAAGGCGAGGCCGAAAGGCGUAGUCGAUGGGAAACGGGUUAAUAUUCCCGUACUUGGUGUUACUGCGAAGGGGGGACGGAGAAGGCUAUGUUGGCCGGGCGACGGUUGUCCCGGUUUAAGCGUGUAGGUGUGUGUUCCAGGUAAAUCCGGUUCACUUUAACACUGAGGCGUGAUGACGAGGCACUACGGUGCUGAAGCAACAAAUGCCCUGCUUCCAGGAAAAGCCUCUAAGCAUCAGGUAACAUCAAAUCGUACCCCAAACCGACACAGGUGGUCAGGUAGAGAAUACCAAGGCGCUUGAGAGAACUCGGGUGAAGGAACUAGGCAAAAUGGUGCCGUAACUUCGGGAGAAGGCACGCUGACACGUAGGUGAAGUGAUUUACUCAUGGAGCUGAAGUCAGUCG
rnacentral:rRNA from 1 species